rnacentral:tRNA from 1 species
AGCCCCGUAGUGUAGUGGUCCAGCAUAAGGGGUUUUGGUCCCCUCGACCCAGGUUCAAAUCCUGGCGGGGCUACCA